rnacentral:lncRNA from 1 species
AAAGGAAAGGCCUGGAGGUACGCUUAGAAGUAGAGAGAAAAGAUGGGAUAACUGGAAUGGAGAAAAGGCUGGCGGCAUCUUAAAACCUUGCUACCUUACAAUCUUUGAGGGAAGGUCUUCGAACUUGGGACAGGGAGAAGAGUCAAAGUCAGCGACCAGGAAGGUACUUGGACCGAAUCGAAAAACAAUAGUCUAUUUGUAGCGACAUAACUGAGUUUUAAUAUGACCCGGGAGUCAAACAGGAUUAAAAUAUCCUCUUUGUGAAUUAUCCUUUAUUCAAGAAUCCACUUUCCCUUUUUCUGCUGCAGUGAAGCUGGUUUGAGGUUGGAAAACUGGUUUGUAUUUCAGCAUAUGGAAUCAAAGAGGAGAAAAUACCACUGCCUACAUUCUCUUAUUCUUUCUUCUUGUAACUGAUUCCAAAGACGUGGCUUAGAAACUCGUUCUGCUCCCGUCAUCCUACCUCCCAAUGCAACAAUACCAAACCUGAAGAAGCCCUUUCCCCCUGAGAUUUCUAGGACUUCACGUAACACCCCCACUUUUUGGCCAGGCUCAGGGAAAAGGAGUCCCCGCUGAAUCGAAUUUCUAAGGCUAUCAAAUGUGAUCGAGAAAGAAAGCGAGUGUCUUGUAUGGUGGUGUCUAGAGGGCAAAGUGGAAUCAAGAACCCAGGGCAUGUGGUACUGUCCAGAACAUCAUGAAGACUCCAGAAAAAGGGGAACCAUUUCUCAAGCCAAUGGAAUCCUGAGGAUUUGGACCCAAGCCCUGGCCCCUCUGGGAGGGGAAUAAAUGCAUGCGACUGUCCUUAGGCUGAAGCAAGGACUUCAUCUCACUGAUAAAAUUCAAGUCAACAGUCUCAAUUCCAAAGUGUCUCUGCUCCAGGCCAAUGAUCUGAAUUCAUUCCUGUGGCCCUUGAAAAAGGAAAUCUUCGUUACUCCCACUACCAGAUCAGCCGACAGAGAAGGGACUUCACCCCAGCUCGACCAAGCUUGCCUUUACCUUGGAUCUUCAGCUAGACAUGAGUCUUCAAACCAAGAACUUCAAAUUCAAUGGCAGAGCUUGGCAUUGUGUGUCUAACUGGUCCUCUUUGCUGUAACCAAAAAUAUCCAAUGGCUUCAGGAGUGGAGGCAGAGGAAGAGGAAAGGUCUAUUUAAGGAAGUGUCAGAGCAUUCACUAGUCAUUCAGAUAAAUGAAGAUAGCUAUUGUAUGCAAAAGAAAAUAGAUUUAUUUUGCUUCAUUCCAGAAAUUAGGACUAGGACCAAAUAGCCAAAACUCUUAAGCAAGAACUCAAAUACAAUUCAUUUCUGGGAGUCUCAGGGGUAAAGGAAUGAGGUAGUCACAACAGGGAAUCAUCUUCAUAACUGUUGUCUCAGCAUCCUCAGGAGACAGAGAAACAUGUAUGCUGUGGAACUCCAGAGUCUGGUGUGGUGGGUCACAGAAGAACCCAGGAUUUGUGAUUACAAGGAUAUUGGAUCAGAUGUUCUCUAAAUUACCUUCCAGCACUGAAUCUUAUGAAAUUUUAAAAAAAAAUUAUUUUUAUUUUGCACUUAAAUACCAAACAAAAUGGGCAUUUUUAUAUACCUAAUAGAACAAAAGAGGUGAUUGUAUACGAAACCUUAAAUCUCUGUUAUGUACAGCUUGCUUUUUAAAAGUAUAAAAUAAAUUCAACUUGUAGCUUUCA